UACGUAGGGGGCGAGCGUUGUCCGAAGUUACUGGGCGUAAAGCGCGCGUAGGCGGUCGAUUAAGUCUGGGGUGAAAGGUUCAGCGCUCAACGCGAACAGUGCCUUGGAUACUGGUUGACUUGAGUUGGGGAGGGGGAAGUGGAAUUCCGGGUGUAGCGGUGAAAUGCGUAGAUAUCCGGAGGAACACCGAUGGCGAAGGCAGCUUCCUGGCCCACAACUGACGCUGAGGUGCGAAAGCGUGGGGAGCGAACAGG
rnacentral:rRNA from 1 species